rnacentral:rRNA from 1 species
GACGUAGGGGACGAGCGUUGUCCGGAUUCAUUGGGCGUAAAGCGCGCGUAGGCGGUUCGGUAAGUCGGGUGUGAAAACACGAGGCUCAACCUCGUGCGUGCAUCCGAUACUGCCGGACUAGAGGUAGGUAGGGGAGAUCGGAAUUCCUGGUGUAGCGGUGAAAUGCGCAGAUAUCAGGAGGAACACCGGUGGCGAAGGCGGAUCUCUGGGCCGCAACUGACGCUGAGGAGCGAAAGCGUGGGGAGCAAACAGG